UAAAAGGUUUUUUUUAAAACCAAAUGAGACUUAAAAGGUUUUCUUGU
rfam:Amborella trichopoda AMTR_V1.0_contig_12462, whole genome shotgun sequence.